CCUUGGGUGGCGAGCGGCGGACGGGUGAGUAAUGCCUGGGAAAUUGCCCGGUAGAGGGGGAUAACCAUUGGAAACGAUGGCUAAUACCGCAUGACCUCGUAAGAGCAAAGCAGGGGACCUUCGGGCCUUGCGCUAUCGGAUAUGCCCAGGUGGGAUUAGCUAGUUGGUGAGGUAAGGGCUCACCAAGGCGACGAUCCCUAGCUGGUCUGAGAGGAUGAUCAGCCACAC
rnacentral:rRNA from 1 species